GUGGGGUGUGGGGUGUGUGUGAAUAAAUUCUUCUUAUCCUUAAUCCAUAUAAGGACCCCAUUUCAUCUCAACUCAAGAAUCAUAAUAUGUCAAUAUAAAUGCCUUUCAAGAUGAAACAAUAUUAAAAUAAGGUGCAGCAAAGUACAUCCUCUAUAUAAUUAGCAUGGACUCUCGCUUGUUGCAGAGGAAAACUUGCACCACAUUUCUGUAACAUGAAUCAACAUCACCAUUUGUUAGCCUCUAAGUAGUGGCCAGGCAUUACUUGGAGCUGUUUUAGGGACAUUCCUUUGAUGCAUCCAGUUAUUUCCUAACAAUUGUUUUAAUGGUAGAAGCACACACUUGAUAGAUAGAGUUAAGGCAUUAUUUAGAACUGUUUUAGGGGUACAGUCCUUUGGUGCAUCCAGUUAUUUCUUAACUGUUUUAACAGUAGAAGCACAGACUUGAUAGAUAGAAUUAAGGCAUUACUUAAAACUGUUUUAGGGGUACAUUCCUUUGGUGCAUUCAAUUGUUUCGGAACAACUGUUUUAGCUGUAGAUGCACACGCUUGAUAGAUAGAAUUAAUAGUUUUUUUCUUCUAAACUUUUGUUGCAUAUUUUUGUCAGCUCUUUAACCUGCAGUUUAAAUCAAUUGCAGAUUUACAGUUAUUCGAUAGAUU
rnacentral:misc_RNA from 1 species